rnacentral:tRNA from 2 species
AGAUUACUAGCUUAAUUUGGAUAAAGUAAUCGUUUUUUAAUCGAUUUAGUCCGGGUUCGACUCCCGGGUAAUCUG